rnacentral:rRNA from 1 species
AUGGAGUACCAUAUAACUGGAAUUAUCCCAUGCAAGUCGAAGAAGGAUUGGCCGGUGCUGCCGGCUGGCGUCAAGUUCAAUCCCACGAAUCAGGAGCUGAUCGAGCACCUUGAGGCCAAAGUGAGUGCUGACAGCGCGAGAUCUCACCCUCUCAUCGAUUUGUUCAUACCAACCAUCGACAGCGAGCACGGCAUAUGCUACACCCAUCCUGAGAAACUUCCAGGUAUCACACUGAGUGGCCUAAGCAAACAUUUCUUCCAGCGCAAUUCCAGGGCGUUCAAAAGGGGCACGUGGACGCGUCGCAAGAUACAAUCUGAGUGCGGCAUGCACGUGAUGUGGCACAACACCGGCAAUACCUUGCCGGUGAUGGUCAACGGCCGGCAGAUGGGCAACAAAAAGGUUCUGGUGCUGCACACCAACAAGAACUUCGACCAGCAGAGGACCAACUGGGUGAUGCACCAGUACCACCUCGGGGACCUGGAGCAAGAGAAGGAGCGGGAGCUGGUCCUCUCCAAGAUUUUCCACCAGACGAACACUAGGGCCAGGAGUAAAAAGAUUAUAAGUUAG